rnacentral:misc_RNA from 1 species
GAUGAAGAACGCAGCGAAAUGCGAUAAGUAAUGUGAAUUGCAGAAUUCCGUGAAUCAUCGAAUCUUUGAACGCACAUUGCGCCCCCUGGUAUUCCGGGGGGCAUGCCUGUCCGAGCGUCAUUGCAACCCUCAAGCGCGGCUUGUGUGUUGGGCUUCGUCCCCCCGUGGACGUGCCCGAAAGGCAGUGGCGGCGUCCCGAAUGGUGCCCGAGCGUAUGGGAACUCUCUUCCGCUCGAAACGGCCCAUUCGGCGCUGGUCGAACCCCAAUUUUUUUUACCGGUUGACCUCGGAUCAGGUAGGGAUACCCGCUGAACUUAAGCAUAUCAAUAAGCGGAGGA